rnacentral:rRNA from 1 species
GACGAACGCUGGCGGCGUGCUUAACACAUGCAAGUCGAACGGAAAGGCCCUGCUUUUGUGGGGUGCUCGAGUGGCGAACGGGUGAGUAACACGUGAGUAACCUGCCCUUGACUUUGGGAUAACUUCAGGAAACUGGGGCUAAUACCGGAUAGGAGCUCCUGCUGCAUGGUGGGGGUUGGAAAGUUUCGGCGGUUGGGGAUGGACUCGCGGCUUAUCAGCUUGUUGGUGGGGUAGUGGCUUACCAAGGCUUUGACGGGUAGCCGGCCUGAGAGGGUGACCGGCCACAUUGGGACUGAGAUACGGCCCAGACUCCUACGGGAGGCAGCAGUGGGGAAAAUUGCACAAUGGGCGGAAGCCGGAUGCAGCAACGCCGCGUGCGGGAUGACGGCCUUCGGGUUGUAAACCGCUUUCGCCUGUGACGAAGCGUGAGUGACGGUAAUGGGUAAAGAAGCACCGGCUAACUACGUG